CGUGCCGGGCGGCCGGAGGCUGCUCGGGCUGCUGAGGGUUUAAGAUUCGUACUGGGCGGUUGUUGGCCUUAGGAUCUCGCUUGGGUGCGCGGAGAGGUGGGGAGGGGCAGCCGCAUGCACAUAUUGGGGGCCGAAAUGCCUCUUAUUAAAUACCUGAUUGCUUACACCCUAUACACCUAACUUUGAGAGCUCAUCUGCAUCAUUACUUCCUGAAAUAAGUAACUGAACUGACCCACUGUCAGGACUAAGAGGCUGGUUCAAUGAGGUAGAAAGCAACCUAUCAACUAAACUUCUGGACUGUGAAAACUUGUUAAGAGGAGUUCCAAAGGCGGCACUGCAGAGGAGCAAAAUUUAUCACCCCAAAAUGCCUCUUUGGCUUGCAGAUUAUUUUGGGCUGAAAACAACUGAAAUCCAAAAGACGCAGGAAGAAACUUUGACCAUCCUCCUAACUGCCUAAAGAAAGUUUCAACCCACCAGAAGAAUCUGGAAGUGUAGAGGGGAAAUGUCUUCCUCCUGACAGAGUGAACCUACGGAAUCCUAGACAACCCACCGUUGGACACUGACAAAGGCUGAGUUCCAGAUUCUCCUUCUCUGUCUCCCUCCCUCCCAUGACUUCACAGUGUGGCCCUGGGGCACACCGUGUACCCUCCAAGACCUAUGAGUAAUAAAUCUUCCUCCUCAAA